UCUACAUGUCAUCAUUGAAGAAAAGUUGCUCCCUGGAAGUAUUCUGAAGGUGGUGUUUCAACUGUGGAUUGCCUCUAAAGGGGACAGAAGUAUCCAGAACGUGUUCUAAAGAUGAAGCUCACUGAAACAUUGAACACAUACGUUUGUUUCUUGAACAUGGCUUUUUGAGGACAUAUUGAGUAACUGAAAGUGACAGGAGCUGCUGUACGUCACAUGAAGAUGUAUCUCGGUGGUAGGUCAGUCACUGUGACACCUUAGCGUAGGUGAAAGUGACAGCGUGUGAAAGGCUGGUGCUCUGAUGAAUGGGGUGUGCACCUACCUGUAUCUUGCUAAAACUUUGUUCUGGAUAGCAGCUCUGCAUAUGAACUCCUGCUCUCUCCACAGGCUUUAAGUACAUAGGUAAGUGAUGUGGAUGUGUUCCUAAUGGGGCAUAGAAUUCAUUUUGCUUUAUGAAGUUUUUAGAGCAUUUUUUUUGUGUAGAAUUACAUGUAGCAUGUUGAGUAAUGCCUGGAAAAUAGCCGUAGUGGCAGUACAGAAUGGGGAUGUGGGCGCAAGUGACAGUACUGCUGUCUCACUAGAUUUUCUACUUGAUUUGUGUUGAACAGAUGAAGUAAAACUGCACACUAAUCGUAAAGGAACUCUGCUUUCUUUUGGCAAAUUAAACUCUUCUUAGGUAGAAACCUGCACGUGUUUUCCCAUUGUAUCAUGACAUAAACACAAACUUCUUGGACACCCAAGCCCCGUAUAAAGGACAGUUGUACACUAAGAGGAAAAGCUAUUCUGUAUCUUUCAAACAAAAAAAGUUUCUCCCUUACUUACGCUUCCAUUACGCUCAUCUAAGUUGUGAGAAAGGGGGAUAGAGGGAAAGGUAUCUAAAAUAAAUAUCUUUUGAAGUGUAAUUUUGAAAGCUUUUACUUCCUUAUGCCUGAAACCAAAUAAACAGGGUUGUCUUGUGAUUAUAUAGACACUGCUGUGAUUCUUCCAGGCAGCCAAAGAAAUGGCUCGGUUUUUGCCUCUUUCAAAUUCAGGGAAGAUGCCUGCACUCUUGGGCAGUCUGUGCACAAAGGGCCUACUAAAGAUUUUC